CCGAAACAGGGGCGUGUUCCCUACCUGGGGAGGUGGAGCAGAUCGCUGACACUUGGAGUCUCGCUCAAGUACGGCCACCAUGGUGAAGCCGGCUCGCCCUUGCUUUUCGCCAGCUUCCUUCUUCCUUUUAUGGUAAAGGCAGGUAAGAAGAAAACAUGUUAGAAAGCUGUAGGGAUUAGUACCUGGCGAAAGGCAAAGAGCUCACCUAGCUCAUUGUGAGCUGCCCACUUCCGGCAAAUUUCAAGUACUCGAGAGAUAUGUUAAAUAAGAAGAUAAAACGGAAGGUUUCUCAAUUCUCCAGAGAACUUAGAGACAGCGGUUACAAGGGACAUAACCAUCACUGAAUUCCCCAUUUUUCCCUGGAAUUCACCAUUAUCCAGAAACUGAACAGCAUCGGAAAUACAGUGGCUACAAGACCAGGGCGGAGGCAUGUAAGGGACCAUAUAUUUUUCUUUCUUGGACCAAAAACUGGAAUGGAUUCAGCUAGAUAGCCGUAAUAACCAGAAGAACUUUGAAACUUGGAAAAGUCAUGUGGUACAGACUUUUAACUGUGCAAGACAUAUUAACUUUUGAAGCAGUGAGGUGGAUAUUUUGAGACACAGUUGCACCAAGAGUCUUUGAGUUAAGGAAAACUGCCUGAAAUCAGCCCUUGCAUUGGACUACCUAUUGUUUGUUACAGAUCAGUGGGAGCAGAGGAGCCAGAGACAUCCAGAGCUAGCAAACAGAAAACAUCACUUUUCCUUCUGUUGAUUUGAGUCAAAGCCAAAAAAAGCAAGAAAACUUAAAAUAAAGGAUUUUAAUGCACAAAAAGAACUAGAUCCACCAAACCACCAAGUGAAAAUGACCAUAGGUUUAUAUAGGUAUACAUGUCAUCAUUGCUGAAAACAAUAGGAACUGUGAUGAACAAUUUAACCUCUCCUUGUGAUCUGGAUUCAUAUUCAUAGAUUUGUUUUUGCUGUAUUAUAUUUUCUAGCCGUUAUAUUUGUAUCAAGCCAUUCGCCCUUUUUCUGCCUCAGUUGUGCAUGUGCGUGGCUUUGUGUGUGUGUAUGUGUAUCUGUGUGUGUAUUUAGGGUUUUAAAGGGGUAUAGUUUAAAUUGGAAAGCAGUAAAUUAGUGAUCCCUUUUUUUCUCUAUUAGU